rnacentral:rRNA from 1 species
UACGGACGGGGCAAGCGUUGUUCGGAAUCAUUGGGCGUAAAGAGCGUGUAGGCGGCUUUGCAAGUCCGUUGUGAAAACUCGAGGCUCAACCUCGAGACGCCGGUGGAAACUGCAAAGCUAGAGUCCGGAAGAGGAGAGUGGAAUUCCUGGUGUAGCGGUGAAAUGCGCAGAUAUCAGGAAGAACCCCCGUGGCGAAGGCGGCUCUCUGGGACGGUACUGACGCUGAGACGCGAAAGCGUGGGGAGCGAACAGG